CGAACGCUUUGUGGUUCAACUGAUUUGAAGAGCUUGCUCAGAUAUGACGAUGGACAUUGCAAAGAGUGGCGAACGGGUGAGUAACACGUGGGAAACCUACCUCUUAGCAGGGGAUAACAUUUGGAAACAGAUGCUAAUACCGUAUAACAAUAGCAACCGCAUGGUUGCUACUUAAAAGAUGGUUCUGCUAUCACUAAGAGAUGGUCCCGCGGUGCAUUAGUUAGUUGGUGAGGUAAUGGCUCACCAAGACGAUGAUGCAUAGCCGAGUUGAGAGACUGAUCGGCCACAAUGGGACUGAGACACGGCCCAUACUCCUACGGGAGGCAGCAGUAGGGAAUCUUCCACAAUGGGCGAAAGCCUGAUGGAGCAACGCCGCGUGUGUGAUGAAGGGUUUCGGCUCGUAAAACACUGUUGUAAGAGAAGAAUGACAUUGAGAGUAACUGUUCAAUGUGUGACGGUAUCUUACCAGAAAGGAACGGCUAAAUACGUGCCAGCAGCCGCGGUAAUACGUAUGUUCCAAGCGUUAUCCGGAUUUAUUGGGCGUAAAGCGAGCGCAGACGGUUAUUUAAGUCUGAAGUGAAAGCCCUCAGCUCAACUGAGGAAUUGCUUUGGAAACUGGAUGACUUGAGUGCAGUAGAGGAAAGUGGAACUCCAUGUGUAGCGGUGAAAUGCGUAGAUAUAUGGAAGAACACCAGUGGCGAAGGCGGCUUUCUGGACUGUAACUGACGUUGAGGCUCGAAAGUGUGGGUAGCAAACAGGAUUAUAUACCCUGGUAGUCCACACCGUAAACGAUGAGUGCCAGGUGUUUGAGGGUUUCCGCCCUUAAGUGCCGCAGCUAACGCAUUAAGCACUCCGCCUGGGGAGUACGACCGCAAGGUUGAAACUCAAAGGAAUAGACGGGGACCCGCACACGCGGUGGAGCAUGUGGUUUAAUUCGAAGCAACGCAAAGAACCUUACCAUGUCUUGACAUCCCAUGACACU
rnacentral:rRNA from 1 species